GACGAACGCUGGCGGCGUGCCUAAUACAUGCAAGUAGAACGCUGAAGAGAGGAGCUUGCUCUUCUUGGAUGAGUUGCGAACGGGUGAGUAACGCGUAGGUAACCUGCCUUGUAGCGGGGGAUAACUAUUGGAAACGAUAGCUAAUACCGCAUAACAAUGGAUGACACAUGUCAUUUAUUUGAAAGGGGCAAUUGCUCCACUACAAGAUGGACCUGCGUUGUAUUAGCUAGUAGGUGAGGUAAUGGCUCACCUAGGCGACGAUACAUAGCCGACCUGAGAGGGGGAUCGGCCACACUGGGACUGGGACACGGCCCAGACUCCUACGGGGGGCAGCAGUAGGGAAUCUUCGGCGAUGGGGGCAACCCUGACCGAGCAACGCCGCGUGAGUGAAGAAGGUUUUCGGAUCGUAAAGCUCAGUUGUAAGUCAAGAACGGGUGUGAGAGUGGAAAGUUCACACUGUGACGGUAGCUUACCAGAAAGGGACGGCUAACUACGUG
rnacentral:rRNA from 1 species